GCCAGAACAGAAGUUUGCAGUAGCGCUGGAAGCGAACGAACGAAAAGUGCGCUGAGGCGGGGACCUUCUGAAAGGGGAGCGGAGAGCACUUUAGAAAUGUGUGGUAUGGAAGGACUUAGAGUUCUGAGACAUGAUUCCACUAUGGCCAGUCAAAGGUCUGAUCGUGGUUCAGCUGUGGCCCGCCAAAGAUCGGAUCUGGCAGUAAUGGGUUUCCGAGGUCUCUGCUGUGCAGCUUGUGGUCAGUUCAACACACACUUUGUUAUGGGUUUGGACUUUACAAUUUUUUUUCUCUCUCGAAAAUUGUUCCAUUAAAGUACAUUGGGGGAAAAAAAGCAAGCCACAUUUCCCUAGUAGUACAGAAGUGUUCACUGGUUUUGGAUGGUCAGAGACAGGAGACACUGUGGCAGGAAUACACAGGUUCAAGGGACACCUGCAGCCUGGAAAAAUUCAGGCUUGUCACCAGGACCUUACUCUCCUCAUCUGUAAACUCGAGAUGCGUCUCCACACUUACACCCCCUUGCAUCCCAGAACAGAAGCAUUGCCUCACAGAUGUAAGAUCCAAGUCAAAGGUGACUCCUGUGAGAGGCUAAAGUCCCUUCCGUGGCAAGUGAUCCUGAAAAACAAAUGCUUCUGCUCGUUGAUAGUUUCACGCUGCUGUGACAAAGUAUCCCAAAAGCAACUUAAGGGGAGAAGGAUUUCUUUUGGCCCAUGGCCUCAGAGAUCCAUAUCCAAGGAAGGAUGUAGAGGAAUGUUUCUUGCUUUGUGGCAGCCAGGAUACAGAGAGACAAAACACUCUUCAAGGACAUGGCUUGGGCGAUUCACUUUCUGCACCUAGCCUAGUUCCCAGAGCCUUCCAAAGCGAGGCCACCAGGUGGAGGAAGGCUUCAAUAUGAGAGUCUGUGAGAGACACUUCACACCCAAACCAUACCCUUAGAUAACCAGGAACUCUGGAGUCGAGAUUUGGGGGUUGGUUUUUAGUUUUGGAGGUGGAACUCAUGCCCAGCUUCACAAACACAGUGAGCAAAAGCCCUACCACUGAGCUACCAUCACAAAGAAUCUAAGGGUCUACAAAAGACUGCUGUGUGGCUGGGAAUAGACUACUUACCUAGCAUAUGUGAGGUCCUGGGUUCCAACACCAUGAAAAGAACAAUCUGUCUCAGUCAGUGUUUACUGCUGUGAAGAGACACCACACUCAAGGCAACUCUUAUAAAGGAAAGCAGUUAACUGGGGAUCGAUAUCGUUUACAGUUUCAGAAGUUUAACCCAUUGUCAUCACGGUGGGGAGCAUGGUGGCACACGUGGUGGCAGACACUGUGCUGGAGAAGUAGCUAUAAGGUCUACAUCCAGAUCCACACACAGCAGGAAGAGAGAAACACUGAACCUGGCUUGGGCUUUAGAAUCCUCAAAGCCCACCUCUAGUGAUAUACCUCCCUAAUGAUUAAGCAUUCAAGUAUGUGAUCCUAUGGGAGCCAUUCUUAUCCAUGCCACCACAAAACAGAGAAACAAGACCAAUGGUGCCCCUCAUCCUUUCACAAUAUCUGUGACUCUCCCCUUGGUCCCUGUGCAGGUAAAGACACAUCUUCUAGUCUCAUCCUUGAACCCAAUAAGUCCUCUACUAAGACUCUUCUCCCAUCUAUUCUCACUCCUUUAAUAUAAAAUGAGAGGGGAAGGGAUUUGCCCUCCUUAGAUUUCUUACUUACUUUUAGAACAAUUACCCAGUUCAGAAAAAAACUGGGGUCUUGUGUCUGCUUACACCUCAAUUAUACUCCAAGCCCUGUAUCAAAGGGUUGGAUUGUAUCUGUGACUGGGGUUCCCCCACCAAGACUGCAUGUGUGGAGCAGAGAAUCAGCUUCUCAGAGUGGGGGUCUCCACAGCCAGAUGUGCAGGCUGGACACUAAGAUCCCUCUUUUCUUGUUGUUAUUCCCACCCCAGCCUCAUCUAAUCGAUGCUCUGCUGCACAGCCCCCGAUGGUGAGCUUCUGUGGCUGUUUCUUGGUCUUUAGCGGUAUUCUCCUGCUCACUGAACAUUGUUCUGCCACGACACCUACCAGGCUCCAAGCCCAGGGAUGAUGCUGAUGUCAGAGGAAGCAAAGUCAGGAAAAUCUCACGCAUGAAAUGGAGAGACAAAAGCAGGCCACUCAAACAGACAGAUUUCCAAUCCUGGUAAGAAGGGGAAAGCCAGCUUUUCAGAUUCAGAACAUGCACCUUGACCUACAGGUACCAGAGUAUGGUGUUCAGCUUCAGGGAGAUAGAAAACAUUUUUCAUGGAGAGUGGCGUGACCUGAUGCUGCCAUAGAAACAAUGGAAACCAAACGGAGAGUGGUGAGAUUCCAGGUGUGCGCCACCCUUCCUGCCUACACCUUCUCCUUCAGUUCAACCUCCACGAACUUGGAGACGAUCACCGAUCACCGGCACAGCAGCCGACUUCCCAGAAUCACCCCAACUCUGGGCUGUGUGAAGACCUGUGUUAGGAUUCUCAGAACCCAUGCCAAGAAACCGGAGGCAGAGCCUGAAAAAUUCCCAAAAGCCCCUGAGCCAGCUCACCUGGUGCACACAGCCAGAGACAAGAGAUCCUGCCACAGCCAUGGUGGAAAACAAGGGCUGCUGCACAAGGUGCUCCUCUGAACUGCACAUACCAGAUAUGUGUACCUGCAUUUGCAAAUGUGAACACACGCCCCUCUUGCAUACAUACACAUGCAUGCAUACACACACACACAAGAUAAAAAUAAAUGAUAAUAAAUGAAUAAAACAUUGUUAUAAAAAACACCUGAGACGCGUGGAUUUAAAGGUUUCAGUCUCUGGUUAGUAAUCGCUGGGGUCUGAGGCGAGGCCUCAUGGAAGAACAUGUGGUAGAGCAAACCAUCACUCACAGGCGGGCGGUGUGCGAUAGAAAAGAGAUGGUCUCUCACAGCUCCCUUCAAAGUCACAUGGCCAGCGAUCAGAAGACCUCCUGCUAGACCCCGCUUCCCAAACUUCUUAGCACCUCUCAACAGGACAAAGCCUCUCACACCAGGGCAGCCACAGCCCCUGUGUGCCACAGUAAAGCUUCUAUGCAGUAAUUGACUGUGCUUCAAGCACCUGUGGUGCACGUAGGUGGCUUUGUCGGGCUCAAACAGAGAGAUUUUUCAUUUCCAUCUGCAUGUGACAAGCAACCUUAAACACGUGGCACCUCCUGGGAACUGGGGGAUCAGUAGGGUAAAGUGACAAAAUCAAGUCUAGCUCAUGUGUGCCUGAAAGACGGGCAACUGGAUGCCCCAAAAUGGCUAUGUCAUCAUAGUGGCAGGGUGUGGGUGGAUCACUUCCCCUACUACGUUCUCACGGCUGGGUUGGAUGUGAGCUGCAGUGAGUUCUAUAGUAUUUACAGUAAAGCACUUCACAGCCACUCGCCCCAUCCAUGUGUCCCCUGGAUCUUCCAUCCAUCCCUUAACACCUUCUACAGUGUUCCGAUGGUUGGGGGUGAGGGGGGAAGAUGCUAAAACCGCUAUCUUUCAAAAUGUAUUCUUUCUAGCUGUGGUCAAAAUCUCUGUCUGAUAAGAGCCAGGCUGCCUGUGGUGGUCUUUGUUUCUGA
rnacentral:sRNA from 1 species